rnacentral:rRNA from 1 species
UACGAAGGUGGCAAGCGUUGUUCGGAUUUACUGGGCGUACAGGGAGCGUAGGCGGUUGGGUAAGCCCUCCGUGAAAUCUUCGGGCCUAACCCGGAAAGUGCGGAGGGGACUGCUCGGCUAGAGGAUGGGAGAGGAGCGCGGAAUCCCGGUGUAGCGGUGAAAUGCGUAGAGAUCAUGAGGAAGACCAGUGGCGAAGGCGGGUCUCUGGACAGUUC